rnacentral:misc_RNA from 1 species
GAUGAAGAACGCAGCGAAAUGCGAUAAGUAAUGUGAAUUGCAGAAUUCAGUGAAUCAUCGAAUCUUUGAACGCACCUUGCACCCUUUGGACUGCUCCAAAGGGUAUGCUCGUCUGAGUGUCAUUGUACUCUCACACUCUCUGAUCCUUUGGAUUUGGGGAGCGGUGGACUUGGGUGCUUGCUGCUUCCUUGUGGCUCACCUGAAAUGCAUCAGUGCAUCUCUCGAUUGGACAUAGCACGGCGUGAUAAGUGUCUUCGCCGGCACCUCAUAUGAGGGUGGCCGAUCGGGAGCUCUGUGCUUUCAAACCGUCUUCGGACAACGCUGACAACUUGACCUCAAAUCGAGUAGGACUACCCGCUGAACUUAAGCAUAUCAAUAAGCGGAGGA